rnacentral:rRNA from 1 species
AUGCCCGAAGACUGUCGGGCUGGUGGUGAACCUGGAGAGGGAAACCCAAUGUUCAAGUCUGGACGGAGCAUAUCCAUGUUUGGCUUCUGUUGCAUGUGAGGAACCAACCCUUGCCAUUGUGAUUGGCCCUGUGAUCUUGAGAAAUCUGUCUGGACCAACUGUGGAAAUAUCACCAAGCCCUUGUUUUGA